UGGGAGAUAUCAGGGAUCCGUCCGCAGUUUAAAUGUUUGAUUUUAUACGCUGGGCUAGCUUGUGUUGAUCUCUUUGUAGAGAUCAAAAGGGGGAAUUGUGGGAACAGUAAAAUGUAUGCGUGCUUAUGAGUGCCUUAAUAAUCAGGUUUAAUUACCAGAAGUGAUUCAAUAUGCAAAAUAUGGGACAUAAUCAAUGGAACAGAAUACACUGAACAUGUACUGUGUGCAGAAGUGGAAAACACUGGAAGGCCGAAUGAUAUGAUUGUAUUGAGAACAACUUGUACUUAAAGGUCACCAUGUAUUUUCUGAAGAUGUCUCGCGGGGGGAGCAGGAUGCGCCGGACCACAAUCUAACAGAGAAAGUGUGUCAAAGAGGAGAAGUAGAUGAGCCUAUCAGGAGUAGACAAACACCUUAGACUGUAGGAAUAGAAAAGAACUGCCCCCGCGAAGGCAACUCAGAUCCAGACUCAUAUCUUUGUAUGUACUGUGGUCUCCACACUCUGCAGACUGUGAAUAAAUACUCGUACUC